UUCUUGUGUUCUAGCUGGGGGU
rnacentral:miRNA from 1 species